rnacentral:rRNA from 1 species
ACGGACUCUUCGGAGUUAGUGGCGGACGGGUGAGUAACGCGUGAGAAUCUGGCUUCAGGUUCGGGACAACAGUUGGAAACGGCUGCUAAUACCGGAUGUGCCUUAUGGUGAAAGAUUUAUCACCUGAAGAUGAGCUCGCGUCUGAUUAGCUAGUAGGUGUGGUAAGAGCGCACCUAGGCGACGAUCAGUAGCUGGUCUGAGAGGAUGAUCAGCCACACUGGGACUGAGACACGGCCCAGACUCCUACGGGAGGCAGCAGUGGGGAAUUUUCCGCAAUGGGCGAAAGCCUGACGGAGCAAUACCGCGUGAGGGAGGAAGGCUCUUGGGUUGUAAACCUCUUUUCUCAGGGAAGAAUGAUGACGGUACCUGAGGAAUAAGCAUCGGCUAACUCCGUGCCAGCAGCCGCGGUAAUACGGAGGAUGCAAGCGUUAUCCGGAAUGAUUGGGCGUAAAGCGUCCGCAGGUGGCAAUGUAAGUCUGCUGUCAAAGCGUCUGGCUCAACCAGAUAAAGGCAGUGGAAACUACAUAGCUAGAGUAAGGUAGGGGUAGAGGGAAUUCCUGGUGUAGCGGUGAAAUGCGUAGAGAUCAGGAAGAACACCGGUGGCGAAAGCGCUCUGCUGGACCUUAACUGACACUGAGGGACGAAAGCUAGGGGAGCGAAUGGGAUUAGAUACCCCAGUAGUCCUAGCCGUAAACGAUGGAUACUAGGCGUUGCCCGUAUCGACCCGGGCAGUGUCGUAGCUAACGCGUUAAGUAUCCCGCCUGGGGAGUACGCAGGCAACUGUGAAACUCAAAGGAAUUGACGGGGGCCCGCACAAGCGGUGGAGUAUGUGGUUUAAUUCGAUGCAACGCGAAGAACCUUACCAGGGCUUGACAUGUCCGGAAUCCUCUUGAAAGGGAGGAGUGCCUUCGGGAGCCGGAACACAGGUGGUGCAAGGCUGUCGUCAGCUCGUGUCGUGAGAUGUUGGGUUAAGUCCCGCAACGAGCGCAACCCUCGUUCUUAGUUGCCAUCAUUAAGUUGGGAACUCUAAGGAGACUGCCGGUGACAAACCGGAGGAAGGUGGGGAUGACGUCAAGUCAGCAUGCCCCUUACGCCCUGGGCUACACACGUACUACAAUGCUAUGGACAAAGGGCAGCAAGCCAGCGAUGGCAAGCAAAUCUCGUAAACCAUGGCUCAGUUCAGAUCGCAGGCUGCAACUCGCCUGCGUGAAGUCGGAAUCGCUAGUAAUUGCAGGUCAGCAUACUGCAGUGAAUUCGUUCCCGGGCCUUGUACACACCGCCCGUCACACCAUGGAAGCUGGUCACGCCCGAAGUCGUUACCCUAACCUUUCGAGGAGGGGGACGCCGAAGGUAGGACUGGUGACUGGGGUGAAGUCGUAACAAGGUAGCCGUACCGGAAGGUGUGGCUGGAUCACCUCCUU